CUGGGCAACAGAGUGAGACUCCGUCUAAAAAAAAUAAAGAAACUGCUGAUGUUGUCCCAGUGAAGGGAGUGGCAGAGGGCCAAGGGCGUUGAGCUGUAUUUAGGAGGAGCUGGGAAGACCUGGGGUGGAGGGAAAGGCAGGAAGCACACAGGAGAGAGGCCAGAGCGGCAGGAGGUGAGCCAAGAGUCCACAGCACCAGGGACGCCACAGGGCUCCAGGGACAGGGCUGCAGGGAAAUGCUCCCUGGUACCAUCCUGGUCCCGGCCCUUCGUCCCCCUCUCCCCACUGCCACAAAACCUCCUCCUGUCUCUCCACCCUGCCUCUUUCCCCAGCCUGUCCAAAGAGGGCAAAGUCCAGGCUCCUGCCCCUCAGGAGCAGUGUGAUGUAGGACAAAGAGCAUGAGAUCGCAGGCCUGAGGCCAGGGCCUUUAUUCCUCGCUGUGUGACCAGGGCCCCCUUUUUCUCCUUUUUUCUUCCUUUUUUUUUUUUUUUUUUUUUUUGAAACAGAGCAAGACUCUAUCGCCCAAGCUGGAGUGCAGUGAUGCAAUCCCAGCUCACUGCAACCUCCGCCUCCCGGGUUCAAGCGAUUCUCCCACCUCAGCUUCCCGAGUUAGGAUUACAGGCACGUUCCACCAUGUCUGGCUGGUUGUUUGUAUUUUUAAUAGAAACGGGGUUUCGCUGUGUUGCCCAGGCUGAUCUUGAACUCUUGGCCUCAAGUGAUCCACCCACCUCAGCCUCCCAAAUUGCUGGGAUUACUGGCGUGAGCCAUGGCGCCUGGCCACGACCAGGGCCCUUAACCUCUCACCCCCAUUCCUUCAUCUGUUUAAAAAUCAAACCAAGGAAAAUGUCCCUAGGUUGCUCUGAGGAUCCAACGUGAUUAUGUACACGGGUGUUUUGCAACUGCAACGAUUAAGUACAUCGUGACAGGUGCUGAUUAGGAUCUUGGCAUUCAAGAUCUCAUACAGUCUGCACCUGGUCCAAUUCUCCAAGCCUUUGGCCAACCAAAUCCCUUCUGAGUCUUUGCCUUUGGUCAGCAUCUACCUUUCUCCCAGAUCACAGGCAAAACCUCAGCUCACUGCAACCUCCACCUCCUGGGCUCAACCAAUCCUACCACGUCAGCCUCCCAAGUAGCUGGGACCACAGACACACACCACCAUGUCCGGCUAAAUUUUUGUAUUUUUAGUAGUGAUAGGGUUUCACCAUGUUGCCCAGGCUGGUCUCCAACUCCUGAGCUCAAUCGAUCCCCCUGCACUGGCCCUCCAAAGUGCUGGGAUUACAGGCGUGAGCCGCUGUGCCUGGCCUGUUUAAAUCUUUGAUCCAUUUAAAGGUAUCCUGAUAUCGGUGUGAGAGAUGGAUUCAGCUCUCCUUUUUUCCAGAUGGCUAUACGCUUGUCCAGAUAGUAUUUACUCACAGGCCACCUCUGCCCCAGCCGCUGUCCUCUCCUCUCUAACUAACCUUCAGCUCCUCCUCUCUGCUCUCUGCUUAUCCCCAGCCUGUCAUAAGAACUAGAUCUACAGACCCCACAUCUCCUGAGAACCCCUUCCUGAUCAGCUCCCAGGGGGCUCUUGCUCCCCUGCAGUCUCGAAAUCCCAACUGCCUGCCCCCUUCCUCCAUCCUCCCUUCCUCCAUCCUCCCUUCCUCCAUCCUCCUGCGGGCACAGUGGCUCAAUUCUGUAAUCCCAGCACUUUGGGAGGCCUAGGUGGGUGGAUCACUUGAGGUCAGUUUAAGACCAGCCUAUUCAACAUGGUAAAACCCCGUCUCUACUAAAAACACAAAAAUUGGCCGGGCGCAGUGGU
rnacentral:lncRNA from 1 species